UCACCAAAUGCGUAGGUUGGGUCAAACACAGUUCCCAGAAUCCAGCUGAAGGAGACCAGGCCUGUGCUGCCAGCGCCCUGACCCUUCCGGCUGAGGCAGCUUUGGAGUAGAGGGAGCCAGUGCAGACGGAUAACGCUGGCAUUGGAAGGAGGCCAGGGUUCCCCGGGCACUGCAUUGUGCUGGAAGAUAAAAGCUUGCCCCUUGGGCUCUACUGAUGGGCUUCCAGGCAUCCAGGCACCCUCUAAUUGUUUACCCUUUUGUAGUGGACACCUGUGUGUACAGGUUUGCAGGAGCCCCGGGCUGCCGGGGGCCCAGUGAGAUGCUUCAGGGAGGAAGAACAUGAUGCGAGAUCCGAAUCCAGAUGUGGUGGAACACUCAGCUCCUUCUCCAGCACCAUGUAAGCCUACAAGCAGCCAUUUUCCCUGACAUGAUGACAAUGGAUGAAACCUCUAAAACUGUACGCCAGCCCCAAUUAAAUGUUUUCUUUUAUAAGA